AGUGACAAAUAUAAUAUGUGAGUUGUGUUCUAUGGAUAUUCUAUAAUCUAUAGCCAUGGUUCACAGACAUUUUUUAGUUCACUCCAUAGAGUAAUAUGAUUCACUCCUGGAUUUUAUUAUGAUUUUUAAAAUGGAAAUUUGUGAUAUAAAUGUUGUGCCUAUGGAAUAUGGAUGAUUUGUCACUUGUAGAUGUUAAAAUUUUUAGAUAUUCAUGUGUGAUUCAUCUGGUGGAAUGCAUGAUGUAUCUGAGUCUGCAAAACAAUUUGUUUUAAAAUGGAGAUCUAAAGACAGUUUAAUUUAGAUCACUGCUGGAAGUUCUGCAAAGUUAUAACUACCAAAAAGAAUUGAACGGGAUGUAAUCAAUACAAUUAACCAGUAACCACUAACAGUAAAUUGACAAUACCCAUUUUGGACAACACUUUCAAACAUUACAAGUUCAUUAAGGAUACUCUCCAGGCGCUAUGAAGAAAUAGCGAUAGUAAACAUUAUGAAUGACUCCAGUGAUGGGUAGAAAAUUGGUAGAAAAAGUGGUGAUAUAUUAAUUUAAGUCACUGUUGGUAUCAAAACAAAUGUCAAUGCUUUUAAUAAAGUAGCCAAUAAUUUUAUUAAUGAUAUCGCUGUCAACAAAUUCAAUGUACUUCUGCAAACAUUUUAUUUCAAUUGUCUAUCAUAAUAAUAAAUACCUACUUUAUCUAAAUUCUUAAAAGUUAAUAAUAUUAAAAAAAAUGUUUUUUUGUUUUUAAAAAUUUACAAAUACCUCUUGUAUGUCUAUAAUUUUGAUAUACCCUUUUCCAUUUGUCACAUUCACCGUAUACAGUAUACACAUUACACUUCGUCAACUCAACAUUUACCCACCGUAUAUCUAUAUAAUGAAUAUAAUUUUCACAUAUACGCAUUUUUUUUUAUAAAUAUUUUUAUAAGUAUACGCUCCAGUACACAGACACUCUUGGAUAUAUAUAAACAAAUCAUAACAUUUUAUAAUUAAGUAUUUAUGUAUAUUUUUGUGUUGUGUAAUAAUACAUAAUCACGCAACAUGCACAUAACACCAACAAGACCUGAAUAAUAAUAAUACAAUGCAGUAAUAAACUUUUAAUAUGACUAUAAUAUUAUAGCCUAUAAUUUAAACAACUUAUAUUUGUAAUACUUUCAACUUAAAUGUAUUAAAUUUAAAUAUAAUCGUUAUUAGUUUAUAUAUUGUAUUCAUGACAAAUCAUCUUAUAAUAACUAAAUCAAAUAACAUUCAUAAAACAAAAAAACAUUUUAAAAUUAUUUUAAUUAAGUAAUCAUAUUAUAUACAUCUAAUUUAGUUGAUA